rnacentral:misc_RNA from 1 species
AAGUCGUAACAAGGUUUCCGUAGGUGAACCUGCGGAAGGAUCAUUACUGUGGGGGCCCCCCGGGGCCUCUGCCGAGAUAGCACCCCUUGUCUUUUCGAGCACCAACCGUUUCCUCGGCGGGCUCGCCCGCCAACGGGGACAAACAAACCCAUUUUUGCAGUGGAAGUCUCUUGUCUGAACAAUACAAAUCUUAUUAAAACUUUCAACAACGGAUCUCUUGGUUCUG